rnacentral:rRNA from 1 species
GCGGCCGAAUGAGCGAUCGUUCAUCCGUCCCGUCUUGAAACACGGACCAAGGAGUCUAACAUGUGCGCGAGUCAAAGGGCUGGCUAAACCCCUAGGA